rnacentral:lncRNA from 1 species
GACUGUGUGUAAGGGGAGAGAGGAGACGUAAUAUAAAAGGGAAGAGUGGAAGCAGAGAGAUGCCAAUGAGCCAAGAGCAGGAUGGCACGUGAUGGUGACGGUCUCAAAGCCUGACUUCUGUUGACCUUCGUUCAUCUCCCUGCAGAGGGGAGCAAGGAGGUUUUGUCUGAAGGGUCAGAGAAGACACUGGAUGGUCCUUGUGGAAAGACUUGGCG